CUUGAAGUGUGUUAAUAGCAAUAUAUCCAGCAACCUGUCUGAAGUUUUGCCAGAACAACUACAACAUUGGACCACAUGCAUUGGAACCUUAUGAUUUAAGGACUACCAAUGGGGAAGGGCUGUAUUUAAUUGUUGCUGUUAGCUAUCUUGGUACCAGUUAUGCCAACAUUUACCUACCUGCAGCUGCAGCAGAGGCCCUGCCGACUUUAAACAAUCAUUAAGCUGACACUCCUUGUUGUGCGCUGGCAGAAAUGCAAAGUGGUACCACCAGUCGUCUAUGCCACCUGUCCCCUCAUUUUAGAGGCUAAUGUGGACAGUCCCUGCAGUUUACAGCUAAGCCCUCAGUAUAGCCCUACAAAUUUUAGAUACUGCCGAUGGCGCUUAGAUCCAGUACAUUGGGCCUGAGUUUCCAGUACGGCGAACUAGAGCCAGGAUUAAUAUCAGACGGACCUCUCUGUGGGUGGAUGGAUUCAGAGAUGACCCCAAAGAUGCGGCCAUGACUGUGUCAGAUGGACGUUAUUGAUGAAACCAUCAUGAUUUAGUUUUUUGGUGAUAAAUCAACAGACAAAGUGUGUAUAAUUUGUGGAUAAAUAGUGUUAAAGCUAGAAACUUUUCUACGAAUUCCUACUCAAGUGGUGAACUGGAAUAAUAUUGUAUAUAACAAAGAAGAGAAUCUUGUUGUGGGCCGUCUUCAUACACAAUUCUGCAGUCAUCUGCACUGGACCUGUUGGGGCAGUUUGAUUUGAUUUAUAA